CGCAGCCGCGGUAAUUCCAGCUCCAAUAGCGUAUAUUAAAGUUGUUGCAGUUAAAAGCUCGUAGUUGAAUUUCGGGAUCAAUAUGUUGGUCGUGCCUUGGUACGUACUGGCGUCAUUGAUUUCCACCUUCUGAAGAACCUCGAUGUCAUUAAUUUGGUGUCUUGGGGAAUCAGGACUGUUACUUUGAAAAAUUAGAGUGUUUAAAGCAAGCUCACGCUUGAAUACAUUAGCAUGGAAUAAUGAAAUAGGACUUUUGAUUCUAUUUUGUUGGUUUCUAGGAUCGACGUAAUGAUUAAUAGGGAUAGUUGGGGGCAUUAGUAUUCAAUUGUCAGAGGUGAAAUUCUUGGAUUUAUUGAAGACUAACUACUGCGAAAGCAUUUGCCAAGGAUGUUUUCAUUAAUCAAGAACGAAAGUUAGGGAUCGAAGACGAUCAGAUACCGUCGUAGUCUUAACCAUAAACUAUGCCGACUAGGGAUCGGAUGAUGUUAAUUUUUAAUGACUCAUUCGGCGCCUUAACC
rnacentral:misc_RNA from 1 species